GCUUAACACAUGCAAGUCGAGGGGCAUCAGGAAGAAAGCUUGCUUUCUUUGCUGGCGACCGGCGCACGGGUGAGUAACACGUAUCCAACCUGCCCUUUACUCGGGGAUAGCCUUUCGAAAGAAAGAUUAAUACCCGAUGGGAUAAUCAUUCCGCAUGGUUUGAUUAUUAAAGGAUUCCGGUAAAGGAUGGGGAUGCGUUCCAUUAGGUUGUUGGUGAGGUAACGGCCCACCAAGCCUUCGAUGGAUAGGGGUUCUGAGAGGAAGGUCCCCCACAUUGGAACUGAGACACGGUCCAAACUCCUACGGGAGGCAGCAGUGAGGAAUAUUGGUCAAUGGGCGCGAGCCUGAACCAGCCAAGUAGCGUGAAGGAUGACUGCCCUAUGGGUUGUAAACUUCUUUUAUAUUAGAAUAAAGUGCAGUAUGUAUACUGUUUUGUAUGUAUAAUAUGAAUAAGGAUCGGCUAACUCCGUGCCAGCAGCCGCGGUAAUACGGAGGAUCCGAGCGUUAUCCGGAUUUAUUGGGUUUAAAGGGAGCGUAGGUGGACUGGUAAGUCAGUUGUGAAAGUUUGCGGCUCAACCGUAAAAUUGCAGUUGAUACUGUCAGUCUUGAGUACAGUAGAGGUGGGCGGAAUUCGUGGUGUAGCGGUGAAAUGCUUAGAUAUCACGAAGACUCCGAUUGCGAAGGCAGCUCACUGGACUGCAACUGAC
rnacentral:rRNA from 1 species